CCAAAGGCUCUUUUCAGAGCCACCCACAUGAUCGAGAAAGGGUUU
rfam:Loxodonta africana unplaced genomic scaffold scaffold_110, whole genome shotgun sequence.